CGGCCGCCCCCGCCGCCGAGCGGACAGAGACAGAGACUGCGCCCGCCCGGGCGGGCGGCGGCCGCGGGGAGCGGCGGCGAGCAGCAGACGUCCCCGGCCACGACCCCCCGGGAGCACCCCCCCGCCCGGCAGCCUCCACCGACCGACAGCAACAACGCCUCCGACCCGCCACCCAUCGCUGGAUGUUCCUCCACUUUACCCACCGUAUCAAACAACUUUUACCAGUAAAUAUCGGUUUAUUCCUGAAACCAGAAGCCCUAAACAAACCUUUGUUUAUAAGUUUUCCUGCUCUGCAACUCUGGAAAUGGAGCCCACGAGACCUAGAGCCUUCGCUUGCCUGUGUGGUUCUGAUUGCUGGCAGUUCUGUAAUACAACUUUAAUCUGAGCAGUUGAGGCUGGUCCCACCUUAUCUUCAGACGUCUUGCGGAGGACUCCUGUUACCAGUUUGGUACUCAAAAGCUACACCCCACCAUGAGAAGUCACUUAUUUUUUAAAAGGCAGUGAUAGAUUACCCUCUCUAAAUCUAAUGGGAAAAUUAUAUUGCAAUGCAACUUUAUAAUAAAUUGUUCAUAUAUUCAUAAUUCUGUGGCAAUCCCAAAUUGGAGAACAGAUCUGUUAAAGGUAUAUAUUAGUCUAGAUUUUUUCUUAUUGUAAAUACUGUAAUUUUAUAAUACUGUCAAUAUUUUAUUAACUUAGAAAUAUUUAACAGAGUUUAAUCUAUGGUAGUUGAUUUAUUUAUAGGUUUAUGUUGCAGCCAAUAUUGAAUUGCAUUCUAAUGUAAGAUUAACUUUAAGUAUGUAUACGUUGAUUUAAUAUAUCAUUGGAAAGAUUAAGAAUAGAGAAAAUUCUCACUCUUAAUCUGUGAUAUUUAUCCCCCGAUUCCUGGCUCAGAAUUCUUUAAUGAAAUACUACGAGCUUUCAAAAGUUCAUGAAGAUAAUAAUUGAAGUCGGAUCAUGUCAUUUGAAAACUUGAAUUUUGAAAUGUACCUGGCUUUUUCACCCUGUUUGUAGUGAACACAAUUGCUUCAAUAUCUAAUCUAUAUAGUACGGAAGUCUUUAUUUUGUAGCAAAGGGACACUCUCAGAUCAAUUUUUGCUUCUUGUUUCAUGAAGAAGAAAAAAACAAGCAAAACUCAGCCAGUGCUUGUGUGUUAAUUCCUUCUUAAUCACAAGGUAAAAUUCCUUUUUUGAUUGGAUUGUUUAUUUGGCUCAAAGCAUUCCCAGAGCACCUGCAUCCCGGAGCCAUGUGGCCUGGCAUGGAGAUGCAGGCAGCCCGCAGGACCCUGCCCCAGCUGCAGCACGCAGAGUCCCCCCAGCCCAGGUGAAGGCUUGGUGCCAUCCUUGCCCCAUGCACAUCAGUGCAGCCGGGGCCUUGCAGGGGACAGAUUUGGUCUCUGGCACUGGCUUAUAAUCUUAGCUGGGCAAGGUGGAUAAAAGUACACUGUCUAAACCUCGCCCUUUUUCAAUCAAAGUUUCUCUUCACAUUUUUUUUUAUUUUUUUUUUCAUAUAUAUAUUUUAGCCUGAUAGUGUCCCUUUGUCUGUAUAAAGACGUUCACUCUCUCUGAAAAAAAAAAGUACAAGUUAUUUUCUUUUUAAGACAGGGGGGAAUUCAUCUGUAAUAUGUUUGCAACAUAACAUGCAUAAAGAUACCAAAAAUAUAUCAAGGGUUUCAUGGGAGGUUUUUGUUUGUUUGUUUGUUGUUUGUUUGUUUGUUUUUGAGUGUAAAAGUUAAUCUUUAUUAGAGAUGUGCCAAUCUAUACUGCUUUAUUGUAGUGUUGUUAUAUUUAGGCAUUUCAGUUAACUUACAAAUAUAUACUGUAACAGUAUACUUUGUACAGAUUUAUUUAAAAUUUAUUUGAAAACUGAAAUAAAUUAGGCAGAAAAUAAAGAUAUUUAUUUUUCAUUUGACUAUGUAAGAAGGUAUCAUUUUUUUGAUUUUAGUGCACUGGUGUACCAAGCCUCAGAACCACUGCUUUCUUCAGUUCAUAGGAUGCUUUUCAGAGACUGUGGAUAUGUGUAUGUGUACUGUUAUAUUUAUAAGUAAAUGCCAACAAUGGAGUUCAUUGCUUUUAUACAUCCCAAAGAGAAGUUCUCCACCGUUUAUUUUCUGUUUUCUGACCGAAAAGGCAUGUGCUUUUGAACAGUGUCGUUGAAAGUUCUGCCAUCCCACUUUCACAUCAGCUUAUGCCAAUUCCAGGAUGGGAGGAUUUGCCUGCGUACCUUUCCUAAUACACCACAUUCACCAGUGGCAUCGGCAGGGAGCAGUCCAAACGUGUGUCCUUUGGGUUUUAUGUAAAGCAAAUGCAGAACAAGAAAAAUCAAGAUGUUAAAUUCAUUAGAAAACAAAUUCCUUAUUGUACAGUAGUAUGGAAAUCUCUAGUCAACAUGCCAUUAAUAAUAGAUUCUUAUUUUUGAAUGAUCUAUUUAAAAGAACAGCAAGCAUUGUAUUUGCUAGUAAAUCUGAAGUGUUUACAUGGAAC
rnacentral:lncRNA from 1 species